AUAUAUUAAAGUCAUUUUGUGGAAGACUUUCAGUGCUGAGAUGAGGAUUUUUUAAUUUUAUCCUAGACAAUAAGGAGCUACUGGAGAUUUUUGAAUACAAGGUUUACCUGGUCCUAUCUAGGCCUUAGGAAAAUUAUUUUGGCAGUUUCCCCAUUUUACACUUAAGGAAUCUGAGGCAGACAGAGGUUAGUGACUUGUCCACAGCCAUAUAACUUGUAAUUGUCUGAAGCCACAUUUGAACUCAGGUCUUCCUGGCAAUAGUCCUAGUCUCUCCAUUAUGACACCUAGCUGUCUCUAUAGUAGGAGAGAUGAGAUGAUGAGGGCCUGAAGUAGAGUGGCCUUGUUAUUGGAGAGAAGGAGACAGAACUAAACAAUGUUGUGGAAGUAGACCUGAUGAAAACUAAGUUUCAUGUUUGCCAGGAUUAUAAUAAAGAGAAGUGCUGAAGAUGGAAGCAAAGACAGAGAGAUUCGGAAGGAGGGAUCUAAUGAAGUACCAUCUGAGGUACUAAUACACAAACACCAUCACAUACCUGCCGACCUUUGAAAACUACACAUAAGAAAACCGCAUAAUUUCACAGGUAUGUUCUAAAUUACAUACUUAAUAACCAAAAAACAUUAAUUGGGUCACUACUUUUUCUUCUAAAAAUAGACAUUUGCCCACCUAGAUAUGGAGAGUUGGCAUGUAUGUUCACUAAAAGAUCUGUGAUAUAGAUAUUUGAUAGUUUAACAUUACUAAAGCAAGUUUAAUAAAACAUUUAACAAACUGACAAAAGUGGAAUUUCCCCACUCUAUUCUUUUCUUUCCUUUUCUGCUUACCAAAGAACAGCAUAAGGCAGAAAGGAGAAUGGAAUAUCAGAAGGGAGCACAUGAUGAUAUGCAGAGAGGCAGCCAGAGAAAGACAUACGAACUGAAAGCUAUCAUACAAAUAAUACAGAUGGCCAUACCAUGACACAGAUAGUUUUUAAGACUUACCCACACUCACAGAUUGAGUCAGCAGAGGAGACCGGAAUCCUGACUCCCAUAAGACUAUACUUCCUGUUAAUAAUAGCGAGGGCAGUAGGUAAGGGUGGAAGAGUCAGACAAUAUGGGUUAAUUUAAAGGCGUUAGAAAAACGCUUAAAAUUUUUUUUAAAUGAAUUUGGGUUAUUAUCCUCUAUGGGCUAAAAAGAAAUAAGUCACUACACCCUUAAAUUCACCAUAUUUUUCAUGGUUCUUUUUUUCAAGAUUUAAGUGACGUCUAGGCUAUUCUCCCUCCAAAUUUUAACUCAAAAGAGAAACAAAGUGGAGAAAAAAGUAAGAGUUCAAAAAUAUCUUUUCACUAAGAGGUUUUUAGGUUGGGAUCCUUUCCUUUCCAGUCUUUUUUCCUACACCAAAAUAGUCCUGGUUUACUUCUCAUACAGUGUUUCAACUGUACUUGACAAUCACAGAUCCCUCAACCCUUUGGUAGUGAUAAAGCAGCAUUUCUCUUUAUAGGUGUGUGAGAGGCCAAUAUAAGAUAGUGGAGCUCAAAGAUAGGUUGAGAGUUGGAAGAAAACAUAACAAAUGUCUUCAAAUAAGAAGAGUUAAAAUCAUAAUGCUAAUCUUAGGACCAAAAUACAGAAGCUACAAAAAGUAUGUUUUCAAGUUCACUAUUGAAGUUAAAAAAAAAAAAACCAACUACUUACUAGGAAUUUCUGUCAAAAAUUGGAAUAUGGUAUUUCAUAAGGUGGAAAAGUCUUCAUCACUGGAACCGUUUAAGUAAAAGCUAUAUAACCAUUUGUUAGGGAUAUUUGGAGAAAAAUUCAUACUUUGCCUUGGUGUGACUAGAGCAAUUGGACUAAUAACCUCUAAGGUUUCUUCUUUCAAUUCAAGGGUUUCUUUAAUUCUGAGAAUUCUAUCAAAUUUUUCAUUGGUAGGGUGAUUUUCCAAUUUUAUUUUACUUCAAAUCACAAUGGUACUUAUUGCAGAGGGGAUUCUGAUUCAGAUACUGGUUAGCCUAGAUAGUAUUUGAGGUCCCUAUCUACUCUAGGAAUAAAUAAUUCUAGAACCUGUUCAUUUCUAAGUAGAUUUGAGAAGGGAAGGGAAGAUGGAUUCCAGGUAAAGAAAUGGUAUCCUUUAACUCUGAUAUUUAUAUACUUUAUCUAUUUUUUUCUAACUGCAAUUAAAUAAACUUGCCUUCUUUGGAGCAGCACAAGAUUGUUACUUCAUGAAUUGAUUUAAAUAAGUCAGUCAAAAGCCCCCAAAAUUUAGAGCCUAAAAGACAUCAUUUGGUAUGCUUUAGAAUUAAAUAGGCCAUUGGUAUUCAUUUUUAAAAGAUAUAAUAUAGCAACUCCAGAUGACUCUAAUAAUGGUAGAACUACACAAUAAAAGUUCUAGAUUCAGUAAAUUUUUUCCAGGUCUCAUAUUUGGAUCAGUUUGGCUUAACUUUGCAAUUACUGUUGCUAUUUGUGCUUAUUUAGACUCACUUAAAAUGUGUACUUAUGACUUGGGACAAAUAUGAAAAGUGCUCCAAUUUAAUAUAUUAAAUAAUAAACUUAAAAACAAAGCUUCUUUGGGCUUAAUAAUUUUGCUGCUUCAUUUUUUAAAUUGUAAGCUUUACCAGAAACUUCACAGAUUUACCAAAACAUGCUUACAACAGCAGCUGUGGAACUAAGUCAGGAGUUCAAAGUAAUUGCCAGCUAUAAAUGGAGAAUGCAAAUUGAUGUACCUCUUUGGAUGUUUUCAGUAAUAUAUUGAAGCAAAACUACAUUCUAGUAAUAAAGCUAUCUAAAAAAGAAAUUCAGACUAGGAAGAAAUAGAACUAAAUUUCCCUAUUUACAUCAAAUAUUAGUAGGAAAAUUGUCUUCUGAGCUAUUUAUAUUAAAAAGUUUUUUAAAGUAUUUUGGAUUAGUGUACUUUUUACCCUUAAUCUACUUUUUAAGACUUGAUAAAUAUUUUGAAGGAUCAGAAAUUUACCUCAAGGAAUUUGAGAGCUACAACAAUGUCAUAUAUUUAAUUUACAUUUAUUAAGGAAGUCCACAGUUCUUUUAAAUAAAACUCUCUUACAGUGUUAAGUUAUAAAUUCUGAUAAAAUUACUGGCAAACAAAAUAGAAACUUAGUUAAAGAAAGUUCUAAUUAAGGUCUAUACAUUUCUGACCAUUAUAUAAAAGUUCAAGCCUGAUUUCUAUAAACAUCUACUGUUGUAAUUUAUAUGCAAUAAUCAAAAUAAAAUCAAAGAAAAACUCUAACAUCAUUUUUGACAAAAAAACAAACAAACCUGAUUUACUGGAAUUACUCAAGAGAUUAAAUAUCUUAGAUGGUUAAAACAAUGGAAGAGGUCAUUCAGUCCCCUAAUCAUUUAACAAUAGCUAGUACAUGCUUUAAAUUUUGCAAAAUGCUUUAGAGAUGUUAGUUUAUUUGAUCCUAAAAUCAUUUUAGUAUGAAAGAGGGAAAACAAAAAUCCUAGAAACACUAUGUGGUUCCAUCAAUUAAUUAAUUUUUUUAAUUACUAUUCCAUUUGUCUACUUAUGUUAUUAAUCCCUCCAGCUGUUUGUACAAUGUCUGGAACAUAUGAGGCACUUAAAAAAUGAUUGUUGACUGGUUCUAUGUCUCAAAUACUAAGAAAAUUAUCAAACUACUCUGGAGGUUUCCUACUGUUUCCUUAGUCUUACCUUAAAUCUAUCAAAAUAUUACCUCUAUGCCUUACCAUCAUGUCUGAAAUAAUAUCUGCUCUAAUGUCAAAUAAAAAAGAAACAAUCUAUAACUAGAAGUAAAGAUUAGACACUAAUGUAGAGCUUUCUUUUUUGCACUACAACAUCUAAAAUUUGUUUUGGCUGAGCUGAUUUUUACUUCAUUUUGUCCAAAUAUGCUAAAAUAAAUAAAACAACAAACCAAUUUGUAAUGUCUUAUGUUCAAUAUAUAGUUUUAAAUUAUUAUUUCUUUUGAGACAGAGGCAAAAAUGCUUGGUUUAUGAUCUAAAAGAAAAUUUGCAAACCUUCAUUGCCACAGUUGUUGAAAUGAUAGAAAAUACUAAGGGAGACAACAGAACUGAAUUUAUAGAAAGUUACAUAUUUUUAAUUGAGUAGGCAAGAUGAAUCUCCUUGACCAGACUUAAAAAGUAAAUAUAGGUGGAAAAGGCCUUUCAAAAUUGAAAGAGAAUGAUGGCUGAUAUUCCUUUUAACUAGUCCUUAAUACUAUAGCAUAAUUAUUCAGCAAUUGAAUAAGCAUGACCUAUCCAGAAGGUGAAUUUUACAUCUGAAUGACUCCUUUACAAGGUUCAAUGAAGAUUACAGAAACAACCAACCAAAAAAAGUGAAUCCUAUUAGCUUUUCUACAGACAGUUUAUGGAGAGAUUCCUAAUUAAAUAUGCUUAAAGUCUUAAGCCAUUUGAAAUACAGUACUAAUCCAUAAAAUGGAAGAGUUUUCUGCCUAUAAGCUUAACAGUAUUUUGUAGUCCAUGAAAAUAUAAAUGCAAUGUCUAAAUAAAUGCAUAAACUAGGAAUCAAAUUUGCAGAAAAGUCAACAUUUAGCAGUGUAGGUUUUUGAUAAUUUUAUCUUUUCCUGAUUUCAUAUACCAUAUUUGCAACAUCAAGUGUGAUUAAAACAUACUGCCACUGCAAACAAGGGACAUUUAAAGAACAAAUCUAUUUGGAAACUGAAAGAAUGCUUCCUAUAAUUAAUAUUCUCAGUUUUCCCUGUAUUAAGGAUCAUUCAUCUCAGACUAUGGCAAUAAGACUAGAUCACUUUGUGUACAAUCGGACACCAUGUUUAUGUUCAGAGGUUAAUUUGUGUAUCAGUGCAUUGAUUUUGUGAAGGCAUACUAUUUGAAUGGUUACUUUUAACCAACUUAACAAUCUGAAUUAACCUCACAGAAAAACUUAAGCAGUUUGCCUUGCUUCAAAGGUAUUAAGAACAAUAUAAUUUUUAUGGCCUCACUGUAGGUAUAGAAAAACACUAGUAUGUUCUGAUGAAAACGUUUUUCAUAUUUAUGUUAGCAUAAAAAUACUUUUCCACUUCACUACCACUGCCAACAUUAACAAUGAGGAAAAAUCCAGGAAACAGUUCUUAAAUGUAAACUUCAUUUUCCUUGUAAAGUUCAUCUGUAAACUAUCCUGUGAAGCAAUCAUUCCACAGUCUCAAAAUUUAAAUAUCUCCUUUUGUCAACAAAAAAGAAACAAUUUUAGUAAGUGAACUUCAAAUGCUUAAAAAUUACAAUACCAAAAAGUUCCCACUGGAUGAAUAAAUUUAAAUUGGAUAAUUUGAGUCUUUAAGUACUGCCUUUUAAUAUUCAGAGUUAAAAUCAUUUAUUCAUGUGGUGAAUGAAUCAUGUUACUCUUAAAAAAACCCAGAGAUGAUAAAGAUGAAUUUUUCUCCACCCAUGUGUUGUUUCAUGUGAAAAUAAUAUUCAUACUGAGGUAUCUCAAGAAUAUGAUGAUCAGCAUUUUAGAUAUAUGCAUACAAGGUUCUCACUAAUAUCUUGUGAUAUUACUUGCAUUUUAUUAAUGUGUAAGGUAGACUAAUUUACUAUAAGUAUGAAAUAAACUUUUUCAAAGCAAGGUAAUAGGAAAUAAUGUUGUAAAUGAUAUUAAUUUAAAGCUUUAUCUGUAAGAAUUAGUCAACCAUAGUAAGCAAUAGAAAUGCAAUUAUGCUCUAUUUUCCAUUCCUCAUACAGAUAGUCUCUUGAAAAACCGAGUUUCUCAAUACCAAUUUAAUCUUUAUUCUUCUUAGAGAUUCCAAUGGGUACAUUUAAUUAGAUUUAGAUUAUUUUACUAUUAUGUAAUCAUAAUUAAUAUAUGGACACCUGAAAGCAUUUUUUUCUACUUACUACUAAAAAUUGAAAUAGUUAAUCAUAGUAUGGUUCUAUAGAUUAUAUAUAUUUGAAGCUGCUCAGACAUCCUUAUAUUAUUCUAUUUGAAGGACAAUUUUAGAUCAUUCAAAUUGUUGAAAGUUAUUGAGCGUUUGAAGUUUUUCAUUUUUAAGACUAUCAAGGUUGUUCUCACACCUUAAGUACCUGUAAUAUACCUAUCAUACUUUCACUAUAAAAUUAUAUAUAAAUAAGAUAUAUAAACAUAGCAAUAUAUUAUCAUUGAGGAAAACAAAAGGGCCAUCAUGUGCAAAGUCUUUCAUUAAUGAUUUUAAUAUACUGUAUUAUUUUAACACUGAGCUUCUUAACAUGACAAAUAAUAAGUUUCCAGGCAUACCUCAGAAUGUUGAAUCUGAUUAUUUUUAGAGACAAGAGUACCUUUUCUACUGAGAAACUUCUCCAAUAUUAAUAUUCACACAGGCUAGAUUCUGAUAGACUUUAAAGAUAGGACUGUUAGCCACUUUGACAGAUUAAUACUUAACAAAGUAUCUUUGUUUAAUAUGACAAGACAUCUCAGCAAAUUUAAUUUAUGUUUAUGCUAGAUUGGAUAUAACUGUGGACAUCAGAGUCUCAGGUAUUCACCUGAAGAUCAUUAAGUAUUUGAUAAACAAGGAAGUGGAAAAUAGCUAUUUUGACUUCAAGGAUGGAACAACAGUAGACUUUAUAAUAAGAGAGUAUGCCACAUGAUUUAGCACAUUAGAAAUAAGAACUACAUUUACCCUGGAAUGUAGUUCAUUCACAGUGCUUUUAAAAAUUUCUCCUCUCAUUUUCACAUAAAAGAUAAAACAUAUGUUUACAGUGAAGUAAAAAAAGUAUAGCUUAACAUUAGGACAAAAAAUAACUAUAACCUCAAAGAACAUGUUCUUCUGAUAUAUAAAAAAUAAGCUUACAAUGCAAAUCUUUACUGUCAAUCUUGACAAUAUAAAAGUUAAAAUAUGAGAAAAAGAUUUUAAUCAAAACAUAUUUUUCUCAGAAAAGUUACCUCACCAUUCCUAGAUUAGUGAAGUCACUCAUUUGAAAAACCAAC